rnacentral:lncRNA from 1 species
UCAUUUUCAAGUUCAAAACAAGACUUGACCUUCUUGGUACUUUCUCCUUGAAACAAGGUCCUUAAAUCAAGGAAAGUAUGUGAAAAGUGGUUGUCAAGUCUUUUGAGUGAUGUGAUCAAGUCUUUCACCAACAAGUACUACAACUUGGUCUUUCACCUUUUGUGGAUCUAAUGUUCACUUUUUGUUUUAACAAAAGAUGAAAAGGGUGAAGAACAACAAGAACACAAUAACAACACCAAGAACAACAACAAUAUUCUCCAAGAACAACAAUAAAUUUCAACGCCCAACUCCACAAA